GAGCGGUCGCAGCUAUACGGCAGCGGCAGACGGGAGAGUAACCGUGGGAACGUACCCUUCGGUUCGGAAUAACCCAGGGUAAACUUGGACUAAUACCGGAUACGUCCGAAAGGAGAAAGAUUUAUCGCCGAAGGAUCGGCCCGCGUACGAUUAGCUAGUUGGUGGGGUAAUGGCCCACCAAGGCGACGAUCGGUAGCUGGUCUGAGAGGAUGAUCAGCCUCACUGGGACUGAGACACGGCCCAUACUCCUACGGGAGGCAGCAGUGGGGAAUAUUGGACAAUGGGCGCAAGCCUGAUCCAGCCAUGCCGCGUGGGUGAUGAAGGCCCUACGGUUGUAAAGCCCUUUCGGCGGGGAAGAUAAUGACGGUACCCGCAGAAGAAGCCCCGGCUAACUUCGUGCCAGCAGCCGCGGUAAU
rnacentral:rRNA from 1 species